GACGUAGGGCGCGAGCGUUGUCCGGAUUUAUUGGGCGUAAAGAGCUCGUAGGUGGUUUGUCGCGUUGUCCGUGAAAACUCACAGCUCAACUGUGGGCGUGCGGGCGAUACGGGCAGACUGGAGUACUGCAGGGGAGACUGGAAUUCCUGGUGUAGCGGUGAAAUGCGCAGAUAUCAGGAGGAACACCGGUGGCGAAGGCGGUUCUCUGGGAAUAUCCUGA
rnacentral:rRNA from 1 species